CGUAAGUAGAACCUGACGGACGGUCCAGGAAGGCAGGAUGCAGAUGUGCAAACCCCACGUGCGCACCAAGGCAGAGAUCACCAGCGGUCAGGUGCAGCUGUGGUUGCAUUAAGAAAUAACUGAUGACUCCACUUCAACAUGUUUAUGUUUUGAGCUCACAAAUUUAGAAUUUUAAACAAUGAUGGGCAGUUCCAGUUACUUUACAUUCCAUGAUGAUUUCUAUAAACUGUUUAAGGUAAAGUUAUAAUUCCCAAAUUAUCCUACUUGACUUGGGUCAUUUGUUUCUAUUUUUAUUUCAAACAAAUUAAGAGUUUAGGGUCUUGCAAUAAACAUUCCACAGAUCUAUGAAUUUAUAAAAAUAGAAAGUUGAGUACAAACAAAUGCAAAUUAAAAAAAACAACUCACCAUAUUCUUUAGGAGACUUAGAAAGGCCUAUUAAGGCCCUUCUCACAGGUAUCCUUAACAUAUUGCUAAGAAUGAAACAAAGAAGAGUUAUAUUAUUGUAGGAAGAACCCUAAUUAUAAACUUUUUGGUAAUAUUUUAUGAUUUUAAAACAUUCCACAUACAUUAUUUCUUUGAACACUGACAAAUCCUGAUAUUUUCCCUCAAAUUCUAUAUAUGAGAA